rnacentral:misc_RNA from 1 species
GAUGAAGAACGCAGCGAAAUGCGAUAAGUAAUGUGAAUUGCAGAAUUCAGUGAAUCAUCGAAUCUUUGAACGCACAUUGCGCCCGCCAGUAUUCUGGCGGGCAUGCCUGUUCGAGCGUCAUUUCAACCAUCAAGCCCCCGGGCUUGUGUUGGGGACCUGCGGCUGCCGCAGGCCCUGAAAAGCAGUGGCGGGCUCGCUGUCACACCGAGCGUAGUAGAUUUUAUCUCGCUCUGGGCGUGCUGCGGGUUCCGGCCGUUAAACCACCCUUUUAACCCAAGGUUGACCUCGGAUAAGGUAGGAAGACCCGCUGAACUUAAGCAUAUCAAUAAGCGGAGGA